rnacentral:misc_RNA from 1 species
AACCUUAUGGACCUGCGGGCGUAUACCUGCGGAAGGAUCAUUACAAGUGACCCCGGUUUACCACCGGGAUGUUCAUAACCCUUUGUUGUCCGACUCUGUUGCCUCCGGGGCGACCCUGCCUUCGGGCGGGGGCUCCGGGUGGACACUUCAAACUCUUGCGUAACUUUGCAGUCUGAGUAAACUUAAUUAAUAAAUUAAAACUUUCAACAAUGGAUCU